GUCAUCGCUGAAUUAGAGAUCGGCGAAUGAUGUAUCAUUAACUUACUUUUUAGGAGUAAAAAAUGUCUCUAAGCGUAGAACAAAAAGCUGCCAUCGUUGCAGAAUUCGGUCGUGAUGC
rnacentral:ncRNA from 1 species